CGGGGUGUGGCGCAGCUUGGUAGCGCGUGCCGUUCGGGACGGUAAGGUCGCAGGUUCAAAUCCUGUCACCCCGACCA
rnacentral:tRNA from 1 species